GCCGGCAGCUAGCUAUCUGCAACUCUCACAUGGUCGCCCACUGAAGCUAAGCAGGGCUGCGCCUGGUCAGUACCUGGAUGGGAGACCACAUGGGAAAGCUAGGUUGCUGCCGGAA
rfam:Danio rerio chromosome 9, GRCz11 reference primary assembly.